rnacentral:rRNA from 1 species
AGCAGCCGCGGUAAUUCCAGCUCCAAUAGCGUAUAUUAAAGUUGUUGCAGUUAAAAAGCUCGUAGUUGAAUUUCGGGAUUGGCGCAUCGGUCGUGCCUCACGGGGUAUGAACUGGUGCAGUCAAUUUCUCACCUUCUGGAGAACCGCGAUGUCCUUAAUUGGGUGCCGCGGGGAACCAGGACCUUUACUUCGAAAAAUUAGAGUGUUUAAAGCAGGCAUUUUUGCUUGAAUACAUUAGCAUGGAAUAAUAAAAUAGGACGGCAUGGUUCUAUUUUGUUGGUUUCUAGGACCACCGUAAUGAUUAAUAGGGAUAGUUGGGGGCAUUAGUAUUCAAUUGUCAGAGGUGAAAUUCUUGGAUUUAUUGAAGACUAACUACUGCGAAAGCAUUUGCCAAGGAUGUUUUCAUUAAUCAAGAACGAAAGUUAGGGGAUCGAAGACGAUCAGAUACCGUCGUAGUCUUAACCAUAAACUAUGCCGACUAGGAAUCAGACGAUGUUAAUUUUUAAUGUACUCGUUGGCA